GACGAACCGUGCGAACGUUGUUCGGAUUCACUGGGCUUAAAGGGCGCGUAGGCGGAUUGUCAAGUCAGGGGUGAAAGCCUCCAGCUCAACUGGAGAAGUGCCUUUGAUACUGAUGAUCUCGAGGGAGGUAGGGGCAUGUGGAACUUCCGGUGGAGCGGUGAAAUGCGUAGAUAUCGGAAGGAACGCCGGUGGCGAAAGCGACGUGCUGGACCUCUUCUGACGCUGAGGCGCGAAAGCUAGGGGAGCAAACGGG
rnacentral:rRNA from 1 species